GUAGUCCACGCCCUAAACGAUGUCAACUAGUUGUUGGGGAUUCAUUUCUUCAGUAACGUAGCUAACGCGUGAAGUUGACCGCCUGGGGAGUACGGUCGCAAGAUUAAAACUCAAAGGAAUUGACGGGGACCCGCACAAGCGGUGGAUGAUGUGGAUUAAUUCGAUGCAACGCGAAAAACCUUACCUACCCUUGACAUGCCACUAACGAAGCAGAGAUGCAUUAGGUGCCCGAAAGGGAAAGUGGACACAGGUGCUGCAUGGCUGUCGUCAGCUCGUGUCGUGAGAUGUUGGGUUAAGUCCCGCAACGAGCGCAACCCUUGUCUCUAGUUGCUACGAAAGGGCACUCUAGAGAGACUGCCGGUGACAAACCGGAGGAAGGUGGGGAUGACGUCAAGUCCUCAUGGCCCUUAUGGGUAGGGCUUCACACGUCAUACAAUGGUGCGUACAGAGGGUUGCCAACCCGCGAGGGGGAGCUAAUCCCAGAAAACGCAUCGUAGUCCGGAUCGUAGUCUGCAACUCGACUACGUGAAGCUGGAAUCGCUAGUAAUCGCGGAUCAGCAUGCCGCGGUGAAUA
rnacentral:rRNA from 1 species